UCCCAUCUGGAGGACUGAAUGAAAGUGAAUUUUCCUUGGAAACUCAAAGCUCUGGGAAGAACUCCAGUUGGAACUUUAAAUUUGGGAGUAAUCUGUGUGAAUGGAAUUGACAACAGUCAAGGAUGAGGAAAUGAACUUCACCCAUGUGGAGGAGGAACAGCUGAAUUCUGCCCAAAGCCUCUCACGUUGCAGAGCACAGGCUCCGGACGCGCAGGCUCAGCGGCCAUGGCUCACAGGCCCAGCCGCUCCGUGGCAUGUGGGAUCUUCCCGGAUCGGGACACGAACCCGUGUCCCCUGCAUCGGCAGGCAGACUCCCAACCACUGCGCCACCAGGGAAGCCCCAAAUUAUCUAUUCUUGAACUAACUCUGGUAAUGAUUUCCCAUCUUUCAUUCCUGAUAUUGAUAAUCUCUGUCUUCUCUGUUUUAAUUUUGUUGG